CCUAUUGGAAUUAACUCUUCACUUCUAAUGCAGAAGAAAAACUGACAACAUCGAAGGCAAGAGAUGGGGAAGGGCAAAAACGAACCUCUGAAUGCAUUCUUGGAAACCUGUUUUACCAAAAGCAUUUGAACCUGAAAUGCCAGAUUCAUAUCACAACAAACUGAUUUGUUCUGCUAGAAGCACUGCAAAAAGACUCCUUCAAGAUGCCCUUAUGAGAAAAAAUGAACAAAUGGAUGGGUUCAGAACAAAGGCAUCUCCCACUGCCCCACCAGCGCUCUCCAAACUGCCCCACUCAGCCAGCAGCCACAGUGUGUGAAUGGCCACCAGUGCUCAGCAAUAACCCACAGCCUCAUGGUAAGUAGUGCAUGUGCAUUGGCUCUGCCUCUCGAG
rnacentral:lncRNA from 1 species